AAAUUGAAGAGUUUGAUCAUGGCUCAGAUUGAACGCUGGCGGCAGGCCUAACACAUGCAAGUCGAACGGUAACAGGAAGCAGCUUGCUGCUUUGCUGACGAGUGGCGGACGGGUGAGUAAUGUCUGGGAAACUGCCUGAUGGAGGGGGAUAACUACUGGAAACGGUGGCUAAUACCGCAUAACGUCGCAAGACCAAAGAGGGGGACCUUCGGGCCUCUUGCCAUCAGAUGUGCCCAGAUGGGAUUAGCUUGUUGGUGAGGUAACGGCUCACCAAGGCGACGAUCCCUAGCUGGUCUGAGAGGAUGACCAGCCACACUGGAACUGAGACACGGUCCAGACUCCUACGGGAGGCAGCAGUGGGGAAUAUUGCACAAUGGGCGCAAGCCUGAUGCAGCCAUGCCGCGUGUAUGAAGAAGGCCUUCGGGUUGUAAAGUACUUUCAGCGGGGAGGAAGGUGUUGUGGUUAAUAACCACAGCAAUUGACGUUACCCGCAGAAGAAGCACCGGCUAACUCCGUGCCAGCAGCCGCGGUAAUACGGAGGGUGCAAGCGUUAAUCGGAAUUACUGGGCGUAAAGCGCACGCAGGCGGUCUGUCAAGUCGGAUGUGAAAUCCCCGGGCUCAACCUGGGAACUGCAUUCGAAACUGGCAGGCUUGAGUCUUGUAGAGGGGGGUAGAAUUCCAGGUGUAGCGGUGAAAUGCGUAGAGAUCUGGAGGAAUACCGGUGGCGAAGGCGGCCCCCUGGACAAAGACUGACGCUCAGGUGCGAAAGCGUGGGGAGCAAACAGGAUUAGAUACCCUGGUAGUCCACGCCGUAAACGAUGUCUACUUGGAGGUUGUGCCCUUGAGGCGUGGCUUCCGGAGCUAACGCGUUAAGUAGACCGCCUGGGGAGUACGGCCGCAAGGUUAAAACUCAAAUGAAUUGACGGGGGCCCGCACAAGCGGUGGAGCAUGUGGUUUAAUUCGAUGCAACGCGAAGAACCUUACCUGGUCUUGACAUCCACAGAACUUUCCAGAGAUGGAUUGGUGCCUUCGGGAACUGUGAGACAGGUGCUGCAUGGCUGUCGUCAGCUCGUGUUGUGAAAUGUUGGGUUAAGUCCCGCAACGAGCGCAACCCUUAUCCUUUGUUGCCAGCGGUUAGGCCGGGAACUCAAAGGAGACUGCCAGUGAUAAACUGGAGGAAGGUGGGGAUGACGUCAAGUCAUCAUGGCCCUUACGACCAGGGCUACACACGUGCUACAAUGGCGCAUACAAAGAGAAGCGACCUCGCGAGAGCAAGCGGACCUCAUAAAGUGCGUCGUAGUCCGGAUUGGAGUCUGCAACUCGACUCCAUGAAGUCGGAAUCGCUAGUAAUCGUGGAUCAGAAUGCCACGGUGAAUACGUUCCCGGGCCUUGUACACACCGCCCGUCACACCAUGGGAGUGGGUUGCAAAAGAAGUAGGUAGCUUAACCUUCGGGAGGGCGCUUACCACUUUGUGAUUCAUGACUGGGGUGAAGUCGUAACAAGGUAACCGUAGGGGAACCUGCGGUUGGAUCACCUCCUUACCUUAAAGAAGC
rnacentral:rRNA from 2 species